CCUCUCAGCUGCCUUCCUGUGGAAAAAUUACAAUUGGAUGCAAGAAUAUGUAAAUAGAUUGAAUGUGUUUAAGUUGAUCUCAAUUUCAACUAAAAAUCGACUUCAGACAGGACGCGUAUACUAUUAAAACAAAUUUCUCUAAAAUGAAAAAGUUCCUGUCCAAAUUGCUUACAUUUCUUGUUUUGUACAACACGUACACAUUGUCCAUAGCUGUAUAUUGUGACGAUAAUACCUGUAACCUUGGAAAAGAAUUAGCCGCUUUGGUAAAGAGGGAGGUGGAAAAGGGGUUGGAACGUGCAAAACAAGAAAUCAGGCCAGCCUUUACUGCUCAUUUCAAAACCGGUGAAUUCAAAUCUUUAGCAAAAGGCCAGAUAUUAAUAUUUGACAAAGUCCAAUUUAACGUCGGAGGAGGGUACAACCCAGGUACAGGAUAUUUUACAGUUCCUAGAGCCGGACUUUACUUAGUGUCGUGCAAAGUGAGAUCCAAUGGCGGCAGACAUCUACACGUCUGGCUUGAGAAGAACGGUAAAAGGGUCACGUUAGCGUUCGGGGGAAACUGGAAUGAGGGAAGCUUUAGCAUCCCUGUACAGGCAGCAGAGGGAGAUCGACUUGUUAUAAUACAUGACACAGGCUCUUAUGUUAAAGACGAAUCUGUACAAGGAAGUAUUAUCUCCUUCUUCUCUGCCGUGUUCAUAUCUGACUAGUAACUAUAACAAAUAUCUACAUGCUGUUAUCAUAGUGGUCAGAAGAAGGAUUUCCCGUCAACUUAGCCUAAUAGGUUAAACAGAAUAAUAAAUACACAUGAAUUAGUUUGCUCUGUUAUUAAAGCAGAUAUAAAAAUAA